rnacentral:lncRNA from 1 species
GAGGUUGUUUUAUUUUUGCAAAAAUUCUCAAGCAUACUUACUUUGCAUUUAUUGCCUGAUCAAAACGGGAUCCGAGGAGGGGAAUGUCAUACUCUUAGAUCAAAGACUUUGGAAAUUAAAAACUUUGUCAACUCUUACUGGCAUAUUGCUUAUUAGAGGGACCAUGGGCUAUCAUUUUUUUUAAGUGGAUACCGAGGUACCCCUAAUUCUACUGCCGGACACUUGUCCAUUUUUUUUUCUGCGAGGUUGUCGAGCACUUGCUCCUUUUUAUUUCCUCGAAAUAUUUCUAUUUUUGCAUAGCCCAUGCCUCUAAUGCAAUAAUACUUCGGAAGAGUGAAUCUUACUGAAAUAAUGUCUUGAUCUUGGGAGCAUGAUAAAUCUCUCAACAAGGGUCUAACUCAUUCUGAACAAACUCAAUACAGAGCAGAUAGCUUUUAUAAUCAUAAUUAAUAUUUUCGGUCUUAUCAGGCAUAUAAAACACUGAGGAUGGUAGCUAUAAUUUUGAAUAUUUUGAAAUAAAUUCUCCAAGCAAC